rfam:Xenopus laevis strain J chromosome 3L, whole genome shotgun sequence.
GGGCUGGCCUUAUAGCUCAGCGGUUCCUUCUUGAAUUCUCGGUUUGUUACUGACUAAUCCUCUCGGGGGUUCUAAACCCGCGGGCGCUAUCCAGCCUUUUA